GCUGUGACCCCUGCCAAAAGCUUGAAUUUUCUGCUUUUAGCUGCCCCAAUUUUAGUAAAUAACCAGUUGUACAUAUGAUUCCUUAAUUUUUUUUUUGUGUACGUGAACAGCCCCUUUUAAUAUCUACCUAUUUUUUUUUUAUUUUGUUUAAUCGCAUUUUUUUACUGUAAGGUUUAUAAAACUUGAAAAUCCAGAAGACAUGGAGGAAGAAUUUUGACAGAAUUUAUUCACUAUGCAUAUGUUUCAGGCUUCUUUACUGAAGAGUGAUGAGAACAAGGCCCUGACCCCAGUCUUACUGCAAAAGGAACUAAAUAAUCUGUUGAAGUUCAACCCUGAUUUUGCAGAAGCCUCACCAAGCAGAGCUUGCCCUGCAGGAAGCAACCAGGAUAGCACAGGAGUCCAGUGACCAUGUGUGUUUGCAACACUGCCUGUGGCCUCUAUAUCCCUUCCAGUAUUUGGCAUCCCUUGGCAUACCGUCCUUGGUUCAGCAAAGAGCUUUGGCAGGAAAGACAGCUGACAGACUCAUGGAUGCCCCGAAGGACUCAGACCUUCUCCACUGGAAACAGAGCCUGUCAGAACUAACUGACAUCAGUACAGCACAAAAGACAGCCUGGACAUCUGGAGACUGUAUGGGCAGAGGACAUUGUCUUAAAAGCUCAAAAUCAAACUGCAGAAGCCCAUGCAAUUCUACAGGUGCUGCUUAAUUACUGCCAGAAGAUAAAGAACAUUGAAAUGGUCAUACAGUAUGUAUAAAUGUUGUUUCUUAAUUCUGAACCUGGCUGCAAGCUACUGUAUAUGUGUGCAUCAAAUGACAAAUUAAUAAACUGUUUGCCUGGCAUUUAGUUCCCCUUGAUUCUAGUGCAUUGUAGUGAAUAAAUCGAUAUCUGCAGCUUUGCCUUAAAUGAAAUCUGGAUUUCUCUUUCUCACUGGAAAAAUGUUUUUUUUUUCCUUCUCUACACAUUGUGGUUACUAGCAAAGUUAGUUUUCCCAGGAGCAGUAACCAAUAGCAACCAAUAAGAUGUUUGCUUUUAAACAGAUGACCAGUAAAUUCUACCUGCUGAUGCUAGUGCCUUUUAUUACAUUACCCCCAUUUUCUUGUGUUAUUUCUUGCCCCACAAAUCUAUAUAUCUGUGUGAUUGUCUCUCUCUAUAUAGUCAUAAUUGAAUCCUUCUGAAACAUCUUAUCAUCUACAUGAUAUAUAGUACAUAUUGACUUGUUAACUUUACAUUGUCCCUCGUGCAGUCUCUGUGUUUUGUAAUUUUUCUAUUGACAAUUUUAUAACCUGUUACAUGGUAUAAUUGUAAUGAUCUUAGUCAGAAAUCAACUUUCAUUGUCCACUCUUACUCUGUAAUAUUUUAAUAGCACAACUUUCAUGGUCACUAUAUUUUGUGUAAACAUGAAUAUUUUAAUCCAUUUAUUGAAAGUUUCCUUGCUAUCCUCAGUGUCCUCCUGUUACAUUCCACAAUUCUUCUGCAUUUCUUGGUUUUGCCUCAGAAACAACAUUAUUGAUGUCACCCCACAUGUUUUCUAUUGGAUUAAAGUGA